UACGUAGGGUCCAAGCGUUAAUCGGAAUUACUGGGCGUAAAGCGUGCGCAGGCGGUUUUGUAAGCCAGAUGUGAAAUCCCCGGGCUUAACCUGGGAACUGCAUUUGGGACUGCAAGGCUUGAGUACAGCAGAGGGGGGUAGAAUUCCUGGUGUAGCAGUGAAAUGCGUAGAUAUCAGGAGGAAUACCGAUGGCGAAGGCAGCCCCCUGGGUUGAUACUGACGCUCAUGCACGAAAGCGUGGGGAGCAAACAGG
rnacentral:rRNA from 1 species